rnacentral:rRNA from 1 species
UAAAUUAGUUCUGCCCAAUGAUUUAUAUUUAAUGGCUGCGGUAUUUUAACUGUACAAAGGUAGCAUAAUUAUUAGUUUAUUAAUUAUAAGCUUGUAUGAAUGGUUUUAUGAAAAGAAUUCUUUCUUUGUAUAUUAAUUAAAAAUUUAUAUUUUUAGUUAAAAUUCUAAAAUUUUUUUAUAGGACGAGAAGACCCUAUAAAACUUAAUAUAAGUAUAUAAUUUAUAUUAUAUACUUGUAUUUUGUUGGGGAGAUAAUAAUAAUUAAUUAACUUUUAUUUUUUUUAUCUAUUAAUUUUUGUUUAUUUGAUUAUUUAUAUUGAU